rnacentral:rRNA from 1 species
AAAUUGAAGAGUUUGAUCAUGGCUCAGAUUGAACGCUGGCGGCAGGCCUAACACAUGCAAGUCGAGCGGAAACGACUUAACUGAACCUUCGGGGGACGUUAAGGGCGUCGAGCGGCGGACGGGUGAGUAAUGCCUGGGAAAUUGCCCUGAUGUGGGGGAUAACCAUUGGAAACGAUGGCUAAUACCGCAUAAUGCCUUCGGGCCAAAGAGGGGGACCUUCGGGCCUCUCGCGUCAGGAUAUGC